rnacentral:rRNA from 1 species
UUUUUCAAAUCAGUGAAAUUAAUCUCCCCGUGAAGAAGCGGGGAUACUCAUAUAAGACGAGAAGACCCCAUGGAGCUUCAAACCCAACUACACCCCUAGCUCUUAUAGCCCCACAACCCCCCCCCCNAGGCGCCGNGNGCUUGGUUUUAGGUUGGGGCGACCGCGGAGUACAAUAAAACCUCCACAAUGAA